rnacentral:rRNA from 1 species
CAGUCGCCACGGUAAUACGUAGGUGGCAAGCGUUAUCCGGAAUUAUUGGGCGUAAAGCGCGCGUAGGCGGUUUCUUAAGUCUGAUGUGAAAGCCCACGGCUCAACCGUGGAGGGUCAUUGGAAACUGGGAAACUUGAGUGCAGAAGAGGAAAGUGGAAUUCCAUGUGUAGCGGUGAAAUGCGCAGAGAUAUGGAGGAACACCAGUGGCGAAGGCGACUUUCUGGUCUGUAACUGACGCUGAUGUGCGAAAGCGUGGGGAUCAAACAGGAUUAGAUACCCCUGUAGUCCCUGUCUCUUAUAC